rnacentral:lncRNA from 10 species
GGCCGGGCAGCGCGAGCGCAAGGGACAGGGAGGGUCGUGGCGACACUCGCGCCAGCUCCCGGGACGGCUGGGCUCGGGCUGGUCGCCGACCUCCGACCCUCCACUAGAUGCCUGGCAGAGCCCGGCGCGUCCGGAGCCCGCGCCCCUCAGAGGGAAGGGGUCGCGCGUCGCCGCGGCGGCCCUGAGGCUGACGGUCGGGAGGUGAAAGGCCGGAGUGCGGGGUCAGGACGCCUCCUGGAGGGGGCGCGGCGCAGGGGGCCGCGGGGAAGCCGCCGAGGGCGCGGAGCGGGAAGGAAGGACAGUGGCCACCCCGCCUCCGCCUGGGCACGGGGCAGGGACCCGCGCGAGGCGGUGCCGGGGAGGUCCUCACGUACUCAAAAACAAGCAGAAAAGGCAUCCAGGGCCCCUUCCCGAACUCCCCACGGGCUGCCAGGGUGCAGAGAAGAAGCGCCUGAGGAGGAAGUGCCACACAAUGGGAGAGAACAAAGGGGAGCGGAGCGAGACCGCGGCCUGCGCCCGCCCCCCGCUUGCGCACAGUCCCCGCCCCGCCCCGCGGGCGCCGCCGCCGCCGCCCUCCCUCCCGCGCCUCCUUCUGACCCCGAGCGAGAGACCUGGUCGGGAGUCCGGCGGCUAGAGUUGAUUGCAAGGGGCCUGUUGCUCGACUGUGCGUUAAAGAGGCUAGAGGGAGCCUAGGUAGACGUGGGGCGCAAGCUGGAGCCGGCAGCUUGCGAGGGGGCCUUUACGUGAUGAGGCUCACCAUGGGGUCUCCAGCGAGGUGUCUGCAGAGCUUCGAUGGACAGCCCCAAAGUAUCCCCAACUUUAUGGAUGAAGAUACCCACGCUUGGAAAUACUAAGUAAGUUGGUCAAGGUCUCACAACCUGGAAGUGGUCAAGCAGGGGUUCAAAUCCAAGAGCAUCUGACUCCCCACACUGUUCUGUACUGAGCUUUGUAUGGUGAAAAAUGGGGUUCCUCAGCUUUAAGUCAGUGUGUGUUUACAAAAAUUGCUUGGGUGGGGCCGGAGGAGGAGGCUUCCAUUGAGACUUUUCCUAUGUAACUAUCAGCCGUCUGACUUGCAAAAGGACUCAACCAAAAUUUUACAAAGCAAAUACUGCAAACCUCAUUAUGGUCUUUGCUCCAAGCUUUGUAGAAUAUUUUAGAUUCAUUUUAAGAGAUUUAUGCAGCAAGGCAUUCUGAAAGGCACAUUUUCAAUAUUAGUUAUAUUUAGCUACUUUUUAUACCCUAGAGACCCAAGAUUCACAUUGCAAAACACAUGCAAGGUAUCCAGAUGUACAAAGUAAUCAACAAAUUAAGAUCACAAGAGAACUUUGGCAGUUCAGCAAACCAAAAUAAACUGCACUGUUGUAACUACCACUUACUGGUUGAUUACCUUCUUUGUACCUAGCAUUUUACACAUACCUCUGAUCUCCACAAUCCUGUGAGGGAACUCUUAGUGCUCCAUUUUUAUAGAUGAAGAUACUGAAGUUUAGAGAGUGCAUGUAAUUUGCUCAUUACCAUGUGUCCAGUAAGUGGGUAAAAGCAGAUUAGAAUACAGGUCUGCCUCCAAAUCGACUCCAAAAUCUGUCUUCUCCACAAGUAUUGCCUUGGGAGGUGUUCAUUUUACUUCUAAUAAUGUCAAUCUUUGGAAGUAAUCCUAUAGAAAAC